UUAGAAAUAAAGAAAUUAGGUAGAAGCAAAUUACAAUAUAGCAGUGACAGUGAGCAGCUGUUAAGUGUUAUAUCUAUAGCUGUCAUUGAUUGGUCACUUCUCUGUUCGCUAUCUUUGGGCGCUGCUCGUCUGUCAAAAAAUUUACAUGUGUAAGCAACAACAUAGUUAUCUAUUUGAAUUCGUACAGGAGAGUAUGCGAAUACCUCAUUAAAAAUGCUAUCACCGCUUGCUGAAUGCUGCCAAAUUUAGUUUUACAUAUGUAUACUAUUCACAAUGGUAAAAACGACUCAAAGGGCAAAUUUUAGACAAAAAUGACAAUACAUGGAUAUGUUUGUUGUUUUUACUUUGAAAUACAUUUUAAUUUAUUAAAUAACACGUAAAGCGUAGACGCAGCUAGAAACAAAGGGAUACAAAAAUAUUUUUGUGCAUAUUUAAGUAUAUCUCCACCUAAGAAAAUUGUUCAGCACUAUUGCGCAUGCUUAAGAGCUGUCCUGUCCUGUCUGUUUGAAUUAUAGGAUAGUGCGUUCUUUUGGCUUCUCUAUAACGCUUAGCCAAUCGAUGACAUUGUGCGUAACAAAAUAGUGUAAACAGAAAAGGCUUGAAACAAGAGCAAAACUUUAUAUACGUGCGCCAGCCACCAAUUGAUUGAAGUUAGUAGCAGCGCAGCCGUUCGAAAGAAUCCCAGCAAGUCAUGGGUACUGAAACUCCAACAUAUUCAAAGAAAUUAUAAUAACAAUAUAUAUAUGUAUACACACAUAUGCAACAAAGGGCAAAAUGUGCAUAAACAUUUAACUCAACUCUUCUCUCGUACAGCACUCUGAAUGAUAGAAAGAAACAACCAAAGUUCUCGUGUUUGAACAAGUUUUGUUUUGAGUCAUGGCUGCUUGUGAAGUAUUAUUUUGCGUGUUUUAUUUAAAUCAGUGAUCUGCAGCCUAAUUAAAGUGUAACUUAUUAAAGCACGCAUUUUUAAAGAAGUAAAACGUAAAAUAAAAGUUUUCUAAAGCGAAAAUAUGGAAUUGAAGAGGGCGAUACUGUAAUAUUUCAUUGCACUGUCAAUUCAAAGCACGCAAUAGAAGCUACGCCAACAAUGGUCAACAUCAAUGGCGAAACCAUUGAAUACAUAUUUCAAAACUCAUACGGCGCGUUAAAGGUACGCAACCUAAUUGGUGUCAUUUAUGGCAGGAGCGUAGAACUUUUGAAUCGAUGGAAUAUGUGCUGCAAGCAAAUCCAGAACUAUGGAUGCAAACUCUGCUACAUCGAACACAACUCAUUUACACACCAGAUAUUGGGUUUAAUGUCACUUUUUUACGUGCAAUUAAACCUUUUGCUCAACACAAGCCCGGGAAGAACUGAAACGACAUGGCUUAGGUGCAUUUGUAACCGUUUAUUAUCUCGACGUGUGUAAACUGGGUUUUGCCAAUAAGCUAGAGGGCAAAGCAGUUGCAGUAUUUUUAGAAUUACCGGCCCCUCAGUUGGCCGUGCAAUUAAACCUUUUGCUCAACAAGAGCCCGGGAAGAACAGAAACGACAUGGCUUAGGUGCAUUUGUAACCGUUUAUUAUCUCGACGUGUGUAAACUGGGUUUUGCCAAUAAGCUAGAGGGCAAAGCAGUUGCAGUAUUUUUAGAAUUACCGGCCCCUCAGUUGGCCGUGCCAUUAGCAGCUAAAACUCAGAAAUUAAAGGGAGGACUUUUUUGAUUCAUUUUCACCUUAUAUUGAGCAAUCAUAACGUUGUUGUAUCGCUUUACAAGGACAUGGAUUCACCGAAAUUAGUUCAAUGGAAAUACUACAGCAAGAGCAUGGAUGUUAAGACUAGAACGUUGCCAGUGCUAGAUUUAGAAUUCCUGAAACAUAAGAAACUCAGAAAAUGGACGAAUCUAGUACUAAUGAAAUUAAUGAAAGAACAGAUCUUCCAAAUCUCCUAAAGAAACCAAAAUAGUCCUCACAUAAUGUGCGCAUCUUACACUUCCAAGCCGCUCGGGGUAUUUGACAUUUGCCACUUUUCCUCCAGCCUUUGUCAAAUAGCAAAAAUUUUUCAAAUAUUCAAUACGUUUUACAUAUGUAUAUAGUGUAGUACGAUAAUACAUUUAUAAAGUAA